GUGCAAUUAGUGGAGGAGUGAAAUAAACGGAUAACGGCUUUCUGCCGCGCCUAGUUCUCGAACUAACGAAUUAAUUUGUCGUCGCCAUCUUGUACGAAAUUUAGCGGCAGAUUUGACUGCAGAUUUCUCAAUUUUUUUAUCACACCAAUGCCAAACUUUUCGAUAUAACAGCCAUAAAUGUCUGUCAGACUUGUCAAGUUGUCAUCCAGCCGCUUCAAUAUGAUGCAAUACAUGUAGCUUCACGUCAGCACAAAGCAUGGCUUGCAGUGAUAGUGUGUACUUCUAUAGAUGACCAUGAAGACCAUCAUGAACCUACACAUGGAUGGUAGACGUAUCCAGCCUGGUCUAACCUUCCACAACUGUCAUUGAUUGUCAUGCCAAGCACAGGAACUACACAGGCAUGAUUCUUCGACCCAGCACCACCCUGGCAGCUCAGACUGGAGUGAUUUCUAAACCAGCAUUGUUGAUUGCCAAAUAAGCCUACAAGUUGAUAUCGUAAACUUCAGUCAGCAGAAGUUCAUCGUUCUCAAGCUACUACAAACCAACAUUGAAUCUGAUUAGCUGCCCAGUUUCAGUCGCAGGAAACCUGACUAUUGUAACCAUUACAACCACUGAUUCCUGAAAGCCAACAUGAAACAGUCUGAGAUGAUGUGGAGAUCUCUCUUGCUUGGAUGUUGUGAGAUGCCAUUCAGCAACACAGAUAUCACUUCAAAGAUACUCCCCUGUUCAUCUCCAUGGUAUCUGCAUAUGGACUACAUGGACUUCACGAACUACAACACGACCAGCAGGAUUUGCACAACAACAAAACCUACAAGUUGACAUCAAGAAACACCUCCAGUAGGCAGGAAUUCAUCUUUCUCAAACUGCUGGAUGUCGCUACAGCAAGCUGCUUGUGACUUGCAAGCAAUCAACAUUGGAUCGGAUAAGCUGCCCCAGUUUCAGUCGCAGGAAAUCUGACUACCGAUCACAACCAUUGAUUCCUGAAAGCCAACAUGAAACAGUCUGAGAUGAUCUGGAGAUCUCUCUUGCCUGGAUGUUUUGAGAUGCCAUUCAGCAACACUGAUAUCUCUUCAAAGAUACUCCCCUGUACAUGUACAUCUCCAUUGGAUCUGCAUAUUGACUACAUGGACUUCACAAGCUACAACACGGACAGCAGGACUUGUACAAGAACAAUUUUGUCUCCUUCCAUAAUAAUCACCUGGAACCUUUCUACUCUCAACCUCAGUGUGUCGUGAGAUGUGAAAUUUUUGUUUUGCUGGACGCAUGGAUGUCCUCACAAGCGUCUUGAGAAAGCCGUGUUUUUCCCUGAUUUGAGAAAGUGUAACUUUCAACACUCCACUCCCGAACCUGUGUACCUGCAAUGGUCGGCCCAAAUGUUUAGAAACCUACUGAGAAAUGAGAGCAAUAUACACAUGGACUAGUCAUACACCAGAAAUCAUGAGAUCACCAUCGGACCCAUCAUGAGAUUAUACCUCAGCUCUGAACUGACUUGUGAAAUACACCCUUAUGAAAUGGAACUCUCUUGAACUUGAACUAUAUGGAAAUGGAACUCUUUUGAAAUGGAACUCUUUUGAAACGGAGAUCUUUUGAAACGGAGAUCUUUUGAAAGGACCUCUUUUGAAGCAGCUGAUUUGAAACAGAACUCUUUUGAAACGGAACUCUUUUAAAACGGAACUCUUUUGAAACAGAACUCUGUUGAAACAGAGCUGAAUUGAAACGGAACUCUUUUGAAACGGAGCUGAUUUGAAACAGAACUCUUUUGAAACGGAACUCUUUUGAAACGAACAAUUUUGAAAUGAAACUCUUUUGAAAAGGACCUCUUUUGAAACGGAACUCUUUCGAUACUGAACUCUUUUGAAACGGAACUCUCUUGAAAUGGAACUCUUUUGAAACGGAACUCUUUUGAAACGGAACUCUUUUGAAACGGAACUCUUUCGAAACGGAACUCUUUCGAGACGGAACUUGUUUGAAAUGGAACUCUUUUGAAAAGACGUCUUAUAUUUAAGAAGUAGAGGUCUCUUUCUCCUGAAGGUCACUAGAGGUCUUCAGAAAUCACCUCUGUGGCCUUUAUGCAAAAUGGGUUGCCUCGGGUAACCACAGUUUGAAAGAUGUCAAGAAUAUUGAAAAGCUGACGCAAAAUUUGUCGUUCACAGUAUUUGAUGAUGGAGAAGUGCAAAAGUCAUGUAUUUAACAAAAAAAUGGGACAUGAUCCUCUAAAAUUUUGUCUGCAAAGAAAAGUGUUGCAGAAUAGCCUUCAAAAUGUGCUUUUCUUUUUUGGUGGAUAUACAAUUGAUGACACUCAUAGCUGAGAUCAAAUCAAACCACAAUUUAUGAAAAUGGAGGAGAGGCCUCUACAAAUGCCACGUAACCAGCCUCUCACAGCAAUCAGUUGUUCAAGCGCAGUUCAUAAAAGUGAUUAGGUAAUUGUUUCAUUGACCAAAUUCAGUUCUAUUCAUUAGCUUGAAACGGUCACUUAUUGCAAAAAAAGGACAGUUUAAGCGCUGCAUUUCAAUUUCCUAAAGUUGCAUUCUUGUUUAGUGCAUUUUUGAAAGAAUCAAACUAUUUAUUGGACAAUAUUCGCUAAAACAAAGGACUGCUUAAAAUGCAGAAAUCCUCAUAGAGAAAUGUUUAUGAUACAAUGUUUAUAACAGAGAGAGCUGGUUACGUUUAAUUGAUAUUUUAAUCUGAAAUAUUUCUUAAUGGCAUUGCCUGAUUGGUAAUAGCUGGGUGCAAGAUUGGUUUCUCUCCAACAAAAUUCUUUAAAACAAACUAUGUUUGCGCGCAAUUUGAACCCACUUCUUUGAACCAAACUUUUGAUAUUUGCUGUAUUGAAUCUCUCAUUUAGACUAAAAUUUGGUUCAAAUUUAAAUCAAAAACUUUUUUAGAUUCCCCAAAAUCCAAAUUUCCUUGCAUUAAAACUAUGAGCUGGAAAUACUCUGUCAAAACUCCAAUGUUGCCAACAAAUAUACAAAAUUAACUUUUUGUUUCUAUAUCUCCAAAUUUGUCUUCACAAAUGAGUUUUUCAAAAUCCUUGAUGCAUUUUCCAGUACAUCAUAACUUAGCUACCUACUAUCAGCAGCCGUGCCAAUCUUGUACCCAGCUUUUGUUUAUCAAGUAUAGUCAGCACUGGUCCAAUGUAUUAAGACAAAGUUUGGCUGUGAAUGAAAAAUAUUGGCGUUAAUCACACAUUUUCCAAAAAGUUGCAAACUGCGUAUUUUCCAUUUCAAAGCGAAAACACUCACAAAAUAGCAAAAAUAACUGUUAUUUGACAGUUUCCUUUACACGUAGCUGUUUUUGUAUAAGCGCGCAUGUUGACAACCUCAAGAAUCCAGUUUUUACUUGUUCAUUUUGCAAGCAAUACAAAAACAAAUGCUAAACCACUGUUCAUUACUUACUGAGUGCCAAUGAUCAAAAGUUUAUCCUCGCUCUAAAAAUGAACAGAACAAAAUGAUGCUUCCAGUGCUGGCUGUACAUACAUGUACAUUACAUAAUCUUUUAUGAUAAUUUGUUGAGUAACCAACCAAUAUACUUGACGUUUUACCAACAGGCAAUGUAAUGAUAUGCUCGAGCCCAACGCAUGCAAGUCCCCCCGGGGCGUGCAUGUGCGGUGUUCCCCGCCCGCAGAUGCCGGCUUGUCUGGUGGGUCGUCCCUAUCUGCAUUGGCGAGUGGUCAGUUGUUCAAGGUGUGUGCUAACUUCCUGAGCUUGUGGUCUGGAUAAUCGUGGAUGACUUGGUUGACUUCAACAUGGUAAGGAUCCUUUUGAACUUUGACAAUCAGUUUGCCUUUCUGCGAAGGAGAUGUCUUUUUGGCUGUUUCUUUACUGAGUGUUGCUGUGGAAAUUAUGUACCAUCUAUCAAUCUGGAGAUUGCAAAUUUAGAGAUCAAUCGAGCAUCUACUCUUGAUGUCCUGCUUGCAUUUCAAUAGUUCCAUGGCAUCAUGUUGAUCCAAAUGAUCUGCUAACAAAUGGGUACUGUUGCUGGUAUAUCUGAUGUUUUUUAAUGCGGUUUGAUUUUCAGACAGGUGUUUCAGCCGCUAUUUAUGUGAAUAACUUCCAUGGUAUAGCUCUGAAAUCUCAUUGCCUUUUAUUGUGUCAUCAUGUACAAUCAGUUCUCUCAUAGAGUGUGUUCAAAUCUUAGACAUGCACGGAUAAAAAUUAUAAGGAAAUAAUAGCAAAUAGAAAUCCAUUAAAAUUAACUGUAUCAACAGUUAAAUCUUCUCUAAAUUCAGCAUCUGAUGUAGCACUUAAAUUAAUCUUUGCAAACUUAAAAUAAUGUUUGAGUUUUUGGCAGCACAUGAGUUGAUAAACCUACAAAAAAACUAAUAAUAUUCAAAACUCCUAAAUUUAAAAAAGGCAGCUUCCCUGCCUCAAAUAUUAUCUUUCCGUAUUAUGUCAUUCAAAAUACUAGAUUUUGGUUAAAUAGAAAAAAAGAGAAAAAAAGUGAAAAAAAAAAGAAAAACAUCCCUUAUUUCAAAGCAACUUAAAUGUGACUUUUAAAAAUAAAAAAAGCUCUUAUGAAAACACAAAGGAAACAAAGUCGAUCUAAUAAAUCAACGAAUGGGCCAGUGCCAUCAUAUUUAUCAUCAGAACAGCAGUAAAAAAAAAUUCAGAAAUUGAGAGAAAAAUUCAGAAAUUUUGAGAAAAAGGAGAGAAGGCCAAACUCUUCAAAUUGUAGGGGAGAAGUCCUGGUGUGCAGAGGGGGAGAACCAUGCUGCUUCCUGGCCAGAUGGAAGAUGUGGUGGACAAAAAAGGCCCCCUGCAUCCUAACAUAUAGAAGCUGUGGUGUCAGACACAGGGAGCCAGUCCUGCCAGAUGGAUCCAUGGUAAGUUUAAUUGAAGUUUGUAGAAUGAAUUCAUGCACUGUGUACAUCCUCAUUGCUUGCUAAACCCAACGGUAAAAUGUGUAUCUCAUGGCUAGGAGUAAACGCUAUCUGUCUGCAUUACAGGAAAACAGUAUUGUACAUUAUAGUCUUCGGUCUGUGGCAAUACCAAUUAGCCUUAAUUUGGCACUAAAAAGAAAGUAAGAGAAACAAAAAAUCUGCUAUUUGUCAUCUGUAAUCAAAAUUUGAUCAAGGCAUUGACAUGACAAUUCUAGGAAUUGGUCAGUCCUCAUAAACUUUUGAUAUUGACAAAGAGCUGUCAAUACUCUUCUUAUGAGUGUCCAUUGAGUCCUACGCUCAUAUAGAGAUGCAACCAGUGUAUUGGUGUGCAAACAUCUCAACCAAUCUCAGCAAUCUUUCUGGACUCGACACUCACUGCAAGCACUCAAAGUGCUGCUACUCAAGUCAUGGUCAAAUGUUGUGACCUCUGCACUCCAAUCCUAUGAUUGGAUGAAACCUUGAGCUUGAGCAAUCACUGCAGCCUCCCAUAGAUUCAUCACCUACCUGAUAGGUGGUUGCAUGGGGAAAUCCCCUACCAGGUCUACUUAAAAGGACCGUUUUGUGAUCACAAAAUUGUGAUCUGAUGUGUUCAUUUCUUUGCAUUGAAAAUUUAGGCAAAGUGUGAUACUGAAUCAACUUUCAAUGAAGCCUUUGUAUAUCUAGGCUUGCAGCAAAAGCUUCACUAUAUUUUUGCUCAUGGAAAGCUUAAAGCAAAUGUCAUGCCUUAUAUCCACAUGUUUGUAUUCUUUAUACAAAGAAUAAGUUUUAUAAAUGAAGACAUUUAACUCUGAAUGUCUUAAAGAGUCCUGAAAGAUCCUCACCUUAGCUCUGACGCAAUCAAAAUUUGCGAUUUUCAAUUGAAUAUAUUCUUAAUGACCAGUUUGUACUUUUGUGCGAUAGCCUGGAAAAGAAAAUUGUACCCUACCUUUCAGACCAAAUUUGAUCAUAUGCACUUGAAAAUGUAGCAGUAAAUGUACAUCGUUUGUACAACGUCUCGUCAGAGAGCAGUAAUUGGAUCUUAGUCUGAUAUCUGACCAGUGUACAACUUGCUGCUAAGAAACAAAGUCAAUGAGUAGGUUUUGCAAAAUGUAACAAAAAGUCGGUGCUACUUGCCAUAAAAUAUAUCCUCAAAAUUUCAUAAAUCUUUGAAUUAAUGCUUAAACCAAUCUGGUUUGAUGCACAUCUGUGCAUAAGUUUAAAGUGCCAAACCAUUGAUCCUUGAGAUGUACUUUGCAUGGACAUGUAAGCAACCUCAAACGUGCAUCAUUCAGAUGCACGUCUUCCAACGCAUUUUUCAAGGGAUCCCUUCAAACAAAAAGCAUCCCCAAGAGUUCAAAGAAUUAGACUGAUUCUCAACCAAUACAAUUCUAGAAAUAUAGUUUUUGGCAUGACGGUGUAACCGUUGUGCGUCAUUUGUCAAAUAAGGUGAAGAUCUUUCAGGACACAUGUUGGUAUUGCCACAGACUGAAGACUAGCUAUGCUCCAUGCUUUAACCCUUUAGUGACCACACUUCUCUCAGUGUACAACGCUAGUUUGCCAAUAGCAUUGUCUAAUAAGGCUGGUAUUGUGAGUUGCGACUUAUUCAAAUGCUAAACUAACUGACAAAAAUCCUGCAAGCUGUAAAUGCAGUUCCUAUUCGAGGCAACUUUGUUAGUUGUGAUUUUUAUCAAAUACCAAAAUAGCUAAACAGAAGAAAAAAAAGAUGGACAGGUCAAGAAUGCUGGUCCUCCUUUGGCAUUACAGGCAAUAUCAGUUCUUGCUGCCUCGGCAGGCUAAGGUCACUAAAGGGUUAAAAAGAAAAGUCAAAGGUUUUCCUAGUCAUUGCUCAGGUCAAGUUUAGAUUCAGUAGUACUAAGAGGGUUGCAGGGAAAAUACUGGUACACAUGUAGGGCAGGUCUUUCAGUAAGAAAUGUGCAAUCGCUUAAAAUCUCUUUAAAAUUGACCAAACAAUCUCAGUAAUUUCUUCCUUUUUUUUUUAAACAAAAGUUAAACGCUGAAAGGUAAUAUAAACAAGUCUACUAAAGUUAAAUUUCAGCAAACUUUCUGAAUUCAAUGUUGCAUUGAAUAAAUCCUUCACACAGGUUUAAAUGUACUUUUUUAAAUUGAGCCCGGCAUGUAGCAUCUUAAAUCUUUUUUUCCUCGUCAUAAAUAAUGAUUCAUUGCAUUUCAUGUCAGUUCUGCUGAAGAGCAUCGAUGAGAACAUUAUUGAGUAGUUUAAUGCAGUGAACAGUGAAUAAAACCUGAUGUAAAUUACACAAAAUUGUACGUAGGGUCAAAAAUCUGAGCAAUAUAAUAGAUAACCAAGUUAUAAAUGUAGGUACCUAAACUAAACAAACGUGCCUAGCUCUACAAAUUAAAGUGUUCAACACUACAAAUAAAGUUAACCACACGCUUUUGACAAGGCCGAAUUAAUGAGUAAAAGAAACUCUUAAACGAUCAAGUCAGGAUAUCAAAUGAAAUUACAUUUUUUUUAGCCAAAAAAGAACAGUCAGAUUUUAAGUCAGAGGAAUAUAGUCAGCACACCAGGAAAAAGGGUGUUUUUAUUUUUGCCUUUACAGGGUUUGUUCUAUAAACCACAAUGCCAUUCAAAAUAAAGAAGUUGAUAGCCAACUUGGACAGGUACCGUACAUGUAUGUACAUUUAAUUUUGUCAGGAAUAUCUUUGCAAGAAGGCAUUAUUAUGAUGUUCCUAACUUACAGUAAAACCUAAAUUUGCUGGGGUCAACUUAGAGAGAUCUGAAAUAACUAGGACUUAGCGAUUGUCAGUGAUUGUGUUGACGUCACUUGGGUUGAAUCUCAGCUCAUGUAGGUACACCAGGCUCUAUGCAACUGCAAGAGGGAUACAUUUUAUAACAUUGUCCCAAGAAAGACAUGUUUAGCCUGUAAAAUUAGUACUCUUUUACGUUGCUUUUUUCAGUGGUUAAAAGUUAAAGGUCAGUCUUGUCUUAUAGAUUGUAAGGGGUGGGUCCCAGGAUAAAUCUUAAAAUGAAUGGCAGUUUCGCUGAUUAAAUAAUAUCUGAUUUCAUGUAGUUGGCAGUUUGGGACCACAUAAGACGGCCAAAAAUUCAGGGCCUCAUUUCUUAUUGAUAUGAACAGAUAAAAACCAGGACAAUCUUAGCCACAAAUGACUCUGCCAAUCCUUGGCACUACAUGUAUGUACCCGCAGAAUAUUUUUAAUUUGUGGCCGACAUCAGUUUGUGAUGUAUAAAUACCACUCGGUAUAAAUACCACUUCAUCACUUUGAAUGUUCAAAGGAGAAAAAAAGGAGAAACAAUCCUAGAUGUUUGCCCAGUUUUGCAUGGUGCGUUGCCUAAACAUCAAUGAAAUUCUUUCUAAGUAGCAAGUGUCUUGUUUCAGAUUCAAUCUCAGAAACUGCCGUUAAUUUGUCCUGGGGCCUGCCUAGGUUUGCAUGUGAGCAUAAAUGUGCAAUAUCUGUUGUAAUGUAGGCAUAUAGCAGUACAGAGUGAGUCAAAAAGAAAGUGACCAAAUUAGAAAAACAUGUUUAAAAAAAAAUGUUUGGAUCACUCUAUUUCAUACAAAUAACAUAGGGAUAAAGUACACGUUAUUGACUAGAAACUGUGAAAAUUUCACACAAUUUCCGGACUUUAUUCCUAAGGUAUGUCUAAUUUAAUUUUAAAAAUCACAAAAUUCAACUGUCCACCAUUAGUCAUUUGCCGUUCUACUAAAUCAAAUGAAAUAUGGACAUUUUCCCACCUCCAUGAAUGAACGAAAACUUGCAAAUGAAAACAGACAAAAGUUGUCACCAGUAUAUCAGGAAAAAACAGUGGACUUGUUCUUCAUAUUCACAAAAUCGGACAGUACAAAUGUUUCAGUCUUGACUCAAAUCUCAUCUGUAUUUGAUUGCCGCUUGUGUAAUAUCCCAUUCCAUGGACAGCUAGAAAAAUAGGUUCUUCUGGUAGCAUGGAUCAAUUUCAGUAAUAAAGACGUGUUUCAUUGAUGUACAUGUAUCAAAUUUCAAAUUUGAUUGCUCUUUUAGAACAAAAAUUGUUAAUCCAGGUCACUUUCUUUUUGACUCUCCCUGUAUGUUUACUCCGAAUGCCAUGAUACACAUGUGGGUUUAGCAAGCAAAACAGAUGAGGAUGUAUGUUGUCAUUGUACAGUGCAUGAAUUAAUGAAAACUUCAAUUAAACUUGACCAUGGAUGGCCAUGGCGGGACAAGGCUGUCCCUGUGUCAUGAUGAUGCCACAGCUUCUGAGGAUGCUGAGGGGCAGAUUGCCACCACAUCAACAGUGGCGUAGCUAGAAUGAAGGAGGGGCCACAAGAAAACAGGAGGGGGCAAAUUGAAGCCCAUGCAAUUGUCCAUGUGGGGCCAACAUGAAAUUUGAAAUUUAAAAUUAUCAUUUGAAUGUACAUGGCUAGUUGCCAUGUUUGUGGCUUCCCGUCUGAGUUGGCCAAAAUAUGGGCCGAGCAUGGGAUUUUGAUAGAUCCCAUUUUGUCCAAUUGGACAGACAGCCCCCUCCAAAUGUUAGAAGGCCCCUCCCAUCCCCAUGAGCUACGCCACUGCACAUUAACCAGGAAAUAGCAUGGUUCUUCAGAAGGGCACAUCGCGUUGAAAAUGGGGAGUAAAAACAAAAUACUCCCCCUCAAAAUCCCCCCAAAAAACUCCUUCGACAAAAGUACGAGGAGUCAGUAACUUUAUAGGCUAGCAAUCACUUAGUGUGCAAAUUGCGUAUUGAAAAAAGAGUUUGGCCAGAUGUCCGUAGAAAAGAAAAAAACGAUCACUCAGUAUUGAAACACUGUGUGAAAUCAAGAGAAAUCCAAGAGAAAACCUGCAAAUGUGUUUCAGUCCAACCAAUUUCUCUCUCGUAAAACUCCCAAUCAAAAUGUGUGGGUUGUUUUAGAUUGUAACAUGUACAUCAUGUACAUCGAGUGCACAAAUUAAAUGAUGUACAUGUACAUUGAGUGCACAGUACAACAGCUUUGUUGAAGAUAUUUAUGAUGGCACAAAGAACAAAUUGCGAUCACUUUUCUCCGCUGGAAGAAACCGUUGUGUAUUUGCCCAUAUACAUCAGGACUGUUUGAGACAUGUAACAAAUUGACUUUUUACUGUACAAAAUGUACGUAAACUUUGUCAGAAAAAGGAAGAACAAAAUUAAGCGCAAAAUUUACUAAGACUUAAGAGAAUACCAAAAAGUCUAUCUUUCAGAGUACAAGGUAGAUAAAGAAAAAAGUUGCUUUGAAAUUGGACUUGUCCAACCAAAAUAUUGGUUGAAGUUUUGGCAGAAAAUCUCACUUCUUAAAAUCUGUAAAUCCUACCAAGAUAACUUUGGUAAAUUCAAACUUGCAAAUUGAAACAUUUAAUUAAAUUAAAGUGUAAAUAAUUACCUAAAUUCACUUGGCACAACUAUAUCUUGUCUGCAAAAUCUGACGUUCUUAAAACUAGUAUCAGUGCUGCCAGAAAACAUCAAAAUUGACACUUUUAUUCAGUCGAAUACAUGUGUAUCUGAUGGAAAAUGCGAUGUACAUGUACAGCAUGUAUGUACAUGCUAUGUACAUGUACAUGUACAUGUACAUAGCAUGUACAUGUACAUAGCAUGUACAUGUACAUAGCAUGUACAUGUACAGCAUGUACAUGUACUUACUACCCAAGUACUUACUACCCAAGUACAAAGAAGCUCUCCAAAAUUGGCAAGGCUUUAGAGCUUCAAGUUGAAGAUCAAAUUUGACGAUAAUAUUGUCACUUCUCUUAAAAGGUUACGUCUGCCUCCUGUAAAACAGUUGCUGAAUUGGUUUUUUGGUCUUUGCCAAUUCAAGUUAAACGUGCAUGUCCGUCAAAACCAAAUACUUACAAUUAUUUGUGAAAAUCUUAUAAAUUAUACGUAUUUUGAAAUGACACACUCAUGAGAUGAACUGAUCAAUGUACAUGUUGAUGUGAUUAAACGGCAGGGAGAUUUCAGAGUUAUAUCGUGGAAGUUAUUUACGUAAAUGGUAGCUGAGAUAAAUGUCCUAAAAUCUAAUUGCGCUGGAAAUAUCGGAGAAAGCUGGCAAAUUGUAGCCUGUUUGUUUUGCAUUUCAUUUAAAUGGAUCAGAAACAUGAUGCAACAGUGAACGACGGAAAUGUUGAGUGAGACAAUCAUGGGUAGAUGUGAGAGAGAUCUCUACUUGGGCAAUUUUUGGAGUGAUAGUUGGUAUAUAAUUUCCAUGGCAAUACUUUGUAAUUGAAACGGUUAAUAAGGCAUCGACUUUGUCAGGAAAGUAAACGGAUUGUCGAAGUUCAUAAGGAUCCUUAUCAUGUUGGAGUUAACUUAGUCAUUUGCGAUUAUUUGGACUUGCAAGUUUGGGGAGUUAGUGCGCACUAAGAUCAACUGAUCAUGAGUCGAUGUAGAUAGCGGGCGACUCGCUGGGCUUGUCGGUGUCUGUGGGCGGGGAACACCGUGCGUGCACGCCUCGGGGGGACUUGCAUGUGUUGGGCUUUUUUUUUGGCCAGUCUUUUCAAUAAAUAACAAUGAAACAAAGUGCUGUCUCCUCUCUAGUAUUUUAUUAUAUCAAAUAGCGCCCUCUAUACUUAAAAAUUAAAAGGGCGCCCUCUAUAGUUUGAACUUCCAACUUGAAUUUUUUUUAAAGUAAAGCAGGGCACACAAGAGGGCGCCCUCUUGUGUCCUGCUUACUAUUAAAAAAAAUUAAAUUGGAAGUCCAAACUAUAGAGGACGCCCUCUAUUAUUAAAUAAACUGACUUAAAAAUAAUCAAGUUGGCACAAGAGGGCUCACUUCAUUUAUUUUUUACUUUGGAAUAAGACAUGCAUUGACCAUAAUGUUUUAAUCAGCAAUACUGAAAAUAUUAGAAUUGCAAGCGGCGCGACAAUAAUUCAGGCAGAUCUUUUUACGCGCUAAAUUAGAGGUGCAAAAGCAACCUUUUUUAACCAACUGGUUGCAGAUGCCCUAGAAAAAAAUGUCAUCAAAAUAAAACAAUUUGUUGCGAGAAAAAGAGAUUUGCUUCAAGAGUACAGGGAGCAACUUUAACUAAUGGGUCUUUUAAAAAAGGACAGAAUUGCAUGCAUCACGAUCGAAAAGCUCAACAUCUUAAAAAAUAGAUGAUUUUUUGUUGUUCUCUAACGAAGUCAGAGGGUAACUUUUUCAAAUGAAACACAUAAUUUGGGGUGUUUAACUCAUCACAUUUCAAUUUGUGCGCCCUCUUGCACCAACAUGAUUCAAAUUAAGUCAACACAUCUGCUGUCUACUUUUUAACCGAAUUUGAAGCAAAUUUUCACAAAGUAUUUUGACGCUGUUGCGCAGUUUUUUAUUACGCGCAAGUACUAGUGGGUAGACUUGUUCAAAGCAAUUUAAGAAAAAGGGGGGCACUCUUUUUUUACAAGUGCCCCUUUUUUGAGCAAGUGCUUUAAAAAGAGAAACACUUGCGCCAUUUUUGUUGCAGCAGCCAUUACGAGUGUUUUUUUUUUUUAAUUUUUUGCGCAUGUGUCACCCUUUAAAGCGCAUAUGUUGUCCGUAAGUGUGUACAAUUUUCUGUUUUGAAUGGCGCCUCCAGCUGCAGAUGCUAUAUUUCAGCAUGGAUGUGCGAGUGCUCUUUAAAAGAAUAACCUUGCUACGCCCCUGAAGUUAGUUGAUGCGCAAUGACAAAGAUGAACGCAAAGCGUAAUAGACAGCAGAUAUGUCAAGAAUAAAAGACACUCACACCAAAGUCACAAAUGGAUCUACAAUGGCACAUCAUAAUACAGACCCUUUUCAUUAAUAAAAACUUAGUCAAAUCUAUUCAAUUUGUGAUGGAACAAAAGCGUUAGAUGUACAUGUACAUUCAAAUGUUCAGUAAAGUCAGCUAAAGUUUGGCAUUGUUUUUCCUCACAAGAAAACAAUUUGUGUAAUAUUUCUUCCUCUAAAUUUACAGCGAAUACAAUCACUUUUUGAAUCACACAAUUUAAGGUUUUGUAGUUUAUCUAAUUUUAGUAGCGGACAUCGAUCAAGUCACAUGCGACUUUUUAACAAGACCAAUCUCUCAACUAAGCUGGGUUGCCACCGUAUGAGUGUGCUUUAUACCGCAAGUUUCAAAAAUCUGGAUUCUCAGUGUAAAAACAACUUUUCCAAUUUUAUUAAUCAAUAUUUACUUUAUUAUAAAUGGAAUACCUUAAAGUUGGUGUUAAUGUGCUUUUUCGAUGUGGCACCUUGCAAAAUAGAUUUUGAGAUUGAAUUGAUGUUCUAGCAUUAUUAGUUAUGAGCUUUCCAAUGAGACAUCGCACGAACAAAAAUAGGCGCACGACAAGUAAUCAAUUAAUUAAUUUCAACUUUUGAAUUAAUUAAGAGUAAACGCUAUGUGUUCUGAAUAGUGUGCGCAAUUUGUGAACUAGAGCGCGCCGUUUAAAACCCCUUUUUUUAAACUGUAUCAAAGGCCUGCAAAAAU